CUAUGCUUUCAUAUUUCUGUAGUACAUUUUAUUUUGCGCAUGAACUUUGAUACAUGACAUUAAAGCUUGAUUUAAAACACGGGUUUGGGCCGUUGUUAAUCUUACGCCAUGUAAUGCUGGCAUAUUAGUUCUCGCUACCYGCUAGACCUCCACCCCCUUCUCUUGGCUGUCCUACGCCCAAUUUUCCCCUGUUUUAUUUAAAAAAGAAUAUCACUUGCGCCAAGUCUAGAAUCUUUAAAGAUAACUGAUGGGURGCGACUUUCCGGGUUGUUUGUAUGUUGUCUUAGGUGAGACUGAUCAGGCGGUCUUAGUAAAAGUCGUAAUUUUCCAGGAGAUGCUACCGCUAAUGUAGAAGCUAAUAUGGCUGCCUUGUGUGCUUCAAGGAGGGGCUGUGAACUCUUCCGACAUUAAUUGAUUUCCGACCUACUGAUUUCAAAAUAGUUUUUUUAUUUUACUGACAAUGUUUUUGACAUUUUUUUUCUUUUUUCUUUUCAAGGAACAUAUGGAUCAUAUUUUUGAUAGACUCCAUGAUCGUUUGGAGCCAUUUCUAUUUCUACAAUUACAGAUGGUCCUGCAGUCAAUCAGUUGGCCACAGGUGAAGAAGCAAAGUGAUGACGGUGACGACAACGAUGAUGUCUUGGAAGCAGAAACUAUGCAGGUGACAGGGUUUCUCCAUCAGUUUCUCAAAGAAGCAUUUUCAGACAAUCUGCACCAGCUCAUGAGAUUUUGGGUUGGCUGGGAGGCUCCAUGGCAGGAACUGAAGCCUGAAGUAGUGCAGUCAACUGGACCAAACCACAAGCCCACUUCAUCCACCUGCAGUGAAAGUUUACGCCUUUCAAGCCAUUAUUCUACCUACCAGGCUCUGUAUGCUGACAUGAUGGUGUCUUAAAUCGGUUGGGACUGGCUUUGGUCUUCUUUGAGAACUCAGUGCAUUGGUGUGUCAUUUGUUCAAUAAUUGCAUUUCAAUAUGGCAAUUAAGUAAAAUUACAAAGUCGUUUUAUUAUUAGCUUCUUUUUUUUUUACAAAUACUAUUCAUCAUUCACCGCAGUCUUGACAUUAAGUUGUGUUCUUUGAAGUGACGACUAAGUACCUGAAAUGUUUGCCAAGCAUUCCUGUAAAUCUUAAAUGUUAGAGUAACUAUGUUCAGAGUUUCUGAGUCAGCACUGUUUGUACAGGAAAUAUGAAACGGAAACUGUUUUUAUGCAAUAUUUUAUUGAAUAUUCAUCUAUGCUUGAAGUAUUAGAAAAUAAAUGACAUAAGACAAA